UUGUCGUAGCUUAAAACAAAGCAUAACAUUGAAGAUGUUAAAAUAGGCCCUAGAAAUGUCUCGAGAACA
rnacentral:tRNA from 5 species